rnacentral:rRNA from 1 species
CCUACGGGAGGCAGCAGUGGGGAAUAUUGGGCAAUGGGCGCAAGCCUGACCCAGCAACGCCGCGUGAAGGAAGAAGGCUUUCGGGUUGUAAACUUCUGUUCUGAGGGACGAAGGAAGUGACGGUAACUCAGGAGUAAGUUAACGCUAACUACGUGCCAGCAGCCGCGGUAAUACGUAGGUGCCACGGGUUUACCGGAUUUAUUGGGUGUAAAGGGCGUGUAGGCGGGAAAUCAAGUCAGAUGUGAAAGCUCAGGGCUCAACCUGGGAACUGCAUGUGAAACUGGUUUUCUUGAGUGCUGGAGAGGCAAGCGGAAUUCCAGGUGUAGGGGUGAAAUGCGUAGAUAUAUGGAGGAACAUCAGUGGCGAAGGCGAAUAGCUGGAAAGUAACUGACGCUGAGGCGCGAAAGCGUGGGGAGCAAACAGGAUUAGAUACCCUUGUAGUG